rnacentral:rRNA from 1 species
AUUGAACGCUGGCGGCAGGCUUAACACAUGCAAGUUGAGCGGGGUGAUGGUGCUUGCACUAUCACUUAGCGGCGGACGGGUGAGUAAUGCUUAGGAAUCUGCCUAUUAGUGGGGGACAACAUCUCGAAAGGGAUGCUAAUACCGCAUACGUCCUACGGGAGAAAGCAGGGGAUCACUUGUGACCUUGCGCUAAUAGAUGAGCCUAAGUCGGAUUAGCUAGUUGGUGGGGUAAAGGCCUACCAAGGCGACGAUCUGUAGGGGGUCUGAGAGGAUGAUCCGCCACACUGGGACUGAGACACGGCCCAGACUCCUACGGGAGGCAGCAGUGGGGAAUAUUGGACAAUGGGGGGAACCCUGAUCCAGCCAUGCCGCGUGUGUGAAGAAGGCCUUAUGGUUGUAAAGCACUUUAAGCGAGGAGGAGGCUCUUUUGGUUAAUACCCAAGAUGAGUGGACGUUACUCGCAGAAUAGCACCGGCUAACUCUGUGCCAGCCGCCGCGGUAA